UUCAGAGGGACACACCGACCCCUGUUGCUGGUCAAACUCGAGGCUGACGCUAGGGUGCACACGACAGGUUGUGAACCCAACAAGUGCUGAGAGACACAACAACUGCCUGAAGAGAGAACAGACGGAGCUCCUCCUCCUUCUGUAGUCACCUACAGACUGAAGCCCACUGGCCCCAGGUGGGAGCCCAGGCAUGUGGCACACAAUGCCCCACCCCACACUUCACAAUGCCCUCCCCGACAGCUCACAGUGCCCCACCCUGCCUGCCACCCCUCCCCAACAGCUCAGAAUGCCCCUGCCUUGGCUGCCCCACCCUGCGGCUUAUGAUGCUGCUGCUCUCCUGGCCCCUCGUGCAGUGCCAGUGGGACUAAGGUUUUCAUUCAUCACCAGCUUCCUGAGAUUUUAGUCCUAAGAAAAGCACAGGGUAGUUCAUUCCUUGAAGCCAUCUUCCUCUAUGAGUUCUAUACAAAGCCUCAGUAGAGUGGGUCCCAUUAGCAACCAAGUUGAACAACUUUUAUUUGCUGUCUGAAUAUAGAUACACCUGAAUUGUUGACUGCUUUUGUAACUAAACACUCCUCUCCUGUCUUCCAACGAGUGGUCAUUUUUGUCCGCAACUUGACCACAGCAAUCCCUGGGGCCCUAGCGCUACUCUCAAUAAAGAGUUAUGGCUGUGUGUUUUGAAUGACACCUUAGGACCCAUCCUGCCUCCACCUCCUUCUCCAUAAAAUGGAAACCUAACUUGUCCCUCUCCAAGCUCUGAAAUGCUGAAACUUACCAACUCCCUUUUCUCCCCGCUAUUUCUUCCUUCCGUGGCAGGGACUUUCAGGUUUUCUUUCUUUUACUAACAAGGCACUAAGCAUGAUUUUCUCAUACAAAAUCGAGAGCCAUAAAGUGGCUUACCACAGUCCUAUUUCAAUAAAGAUGAAUACUCGACAUCUGGCAAGUAGUGUGUGCCUGACACUGUGCUAUGCUCAUUUAACCCUCAGAAACAAUGUCAUUUUACAGAUUUUACUGAAGGAGUUGAGAUGGAGAAGGUAAGUAACCUCCCCAAGGUCACAUGGCUGCUAAGGUUGGGGCCACAAUUUGAUCCCAGGUAGUCUGAAUUCCCCAAUUCCUGAAGCAUGAUUAUCGGAAAGCACAUUAGUCUGUUUCACACUGAUAUAAAGAAAUACCUGAGGUUGGAUAAUUUAUAAAGGAAACAGGUUUAAUUGAUUCACAGUUUCGCAUGGCUGGGUAGGCUUCAGGAAACUUACAAUCAUGGCAGAAGGGGAACCAGGUCCGACUUACAUGGUGGCCGCACAGAGAGUGGGAACAUGUGAAGGAGCAACUGUCAAACAUGUGUAAAACCAUCAGAUCUCAGCUGGGCUUGGUGGCUCACACUUGUAACCCUGGUACUUUGGGAGGCCAAAGCAGGUGGAUCAACUGAGGUCAGGAGUUCGAGACCAGCCUAGCUAACUUAGUGAAAUCCCGU
rnacentral:lncRNA from 1 species